ensembl:lncRNA
CGCCAGCGCCUGCUGCAGCGGCCCCGCGCGCCCGCUCAGCUCGUCGCGGAAGGCCGCGUGCUGGCUCAGCAGGCGCAGGGAGCUGGUCAGGUCCCUGCCCACGUCCUCGGAGGAGAGGAGCCGCUCCUGCUCCCGCAUCCAGGCCUCCUCCUCCCCCGUGUCCCAGAAGAACUUCCAGAAGCGCCGCGACUCCUCCAGCUUGGCCCGCCGCUGCCCCGCCAGCUCCACCAGCUCCCGGUACCGCAGCUCCAGCGUGGCCACGCGCUCCCGCACCACCUCCGGCUCGCAGGGCUUGUAGCCUGCGGGCAGCUCCGUCAGCUCCCUGCGCCUCUGCGGCUCCGGCUGCGGCCACCAGGCCGGGCUCGGGGGUCUCGGGGGGGGUGCCCUGGCCUCCCCCCGCCACCGCGGGCCGCACUCACCCUCUCCGGGCAGGGCGAAGCGCUGGGCCGCGGCGCUCACCGCCCGCACCCGCUCCGCCUGCGCCGCGAUGUCGGCCUCCACCAGCGCGUGGAUCUGCAGCAGGUCGUCCACCCCGUGCAGGUGCGCCAGGUCCUGCAGCAUCUUCUGCAGCUCGAGGUGCAGCAGCAGCCGCUCGCGGCGGGCGGCCACCAGCUGCCGCAGGAAGUCCCAGAGCCGCGCCACGUUGUCGCGGCGGGCCAGGACGCGGCGGACGUCGUGGUAGCGCUCGGCCUCCAGCUCGGCCGCCACCGCGCUCACCGCCUGCACCCGCUCGCUGUAGGCCACGAUGUCGGUCUCGAUGGCCUCGUGCUUGCGCACCGCCGCCUCCACGGCCGACAUGUCGCUCCCGAAGUUGUCCUGGGGGGCGAGCCGCCAGCUGCUCCAGCUUCUCCUGCCGGAUCAGCUCGGUGCGCAGCGCCAGCUCCCGCUCGUGCUCCGCUUUCUCCAGCCGCUCCCAGGCCUGCGGGGACGGGCACCGGGACGGGGGUGGGGGUCGGCUCCCGGCACGGCCGCGGCGCCGCCCCCCCUCCUCGCCAAACCUUGUUGAUGUCGGAGAUGAGCUUCCCCUCGCGCGGCACGAACACCUUCUGGUUGUUGGCGCGCAUGCGGCUCUGGAUGGUGAAGAGCAGCACCUCCAGGUUGCCCUUCUCCAUGAACCUGGGGGCGCGGAGGCGGCGCUGAGCCCCCGGGGGGGGUCUGCGGCCCUGCUGGGGCUGGGGGGGGGCGCGGAUCCCACCGGGGGCUGGGGGAGGGGGCUCACUUGGGGGGCUUCUCCACCGUGCGGUAGGUGUUGAAGGCCUGCAGCUGGUUCUGCACGCCGGGCAGCGCGUUGGCCAGCUGCCGGUCGUUGAGGGUGAGGAUGGUCCGCUCGAUCCAGCCCAGCAGCUCGCCCGCCAGCGUCUCGUACUUCUCCACCAGCUGCUCCGCCUCCAGCGCCGCGUCCAGCACCUGCGGGCGUCCAUCCCUCUGUCCGUCCGUCUGUCCGUCCGUCCGCCCGCCCAUCUGCUGCCUCUCCGCUCAUCCCGGCGGCCAUCUGGCCGAGCCGCCCCGCCUCGCCUUCCCCGUCCAGCUGUCCGUCUGCCCGCCUGUCGCCCGCCCCCCCUUCCUCGAGCUGCUCCUCUCGAGCGUCCUC